rnacentral:tRNA from 1 species
GCCUUCGUGGUGUAGUAGUCAGCGCACUCGAUUCGUAUUUCGGAGGUCCGUGGUUCGAGUCCCGGCGAGGGCA